GUGUCGAUUUUGCAGGACCGUUCCCUGUCCGAGACCGCCUUGGAAGAGGCUGUAAAAUACUUAAAGGUUACUUAUGUCUAUUUAUUUGUUUAUCAACUAGAGCUGUACAUUUAGAGCUUGCAUUUGACCAUAGCGCAGACAUUUUCCUUCUUUGCUUGAAAAGGUUUAUUUCUAGGAAAGGAAAGCCAAGUGAAAUCCACUGCGAUAAUGGACGGAAUUUUGUCGGCGCAAACAACGAUCUUUGUCAAUUUUUAGAAUUAGUAGAGAACAAUGAACCAAUCACCUAGUUUGCUGCCAAUAAAAGCAUCAAAUUUAAGUUCUCACCGACUUACUCUCCGCAUUUUGGUGGGAUUUGAGAAGCAGGCGUCAAGUCGGCAAAACAUCAUUUGUAUUGCAUGUUAGGAAAUAAUCAUUUCACGUACGAGGAAUUAUCAAAAAAUUAUCGAAUUUGUUCAUACAAAUCGAAGCAAUCUUGAACUCUAGACUCCACUUUCUUCAGAUCCAACUGACUUACUUCCUUUGACUCCUGGGCAUUUCCUUAUCGGUAGACCACUUACCUCUUUGCUUUCGCCAGCUUUAUUGAAUACAAACACAAAUCGCCUAAAUCAAUUCCAACAAAUUGAGCAAUUUAAACAACACUUCUGGGAACGAUGGCGCAAGGAGUUCUUGUGUGAGCUGCAACAAAGAACCAAAUGGCGUGUCAACCAAGGAAACUUACUUGAAGGCGACAUGGUUGUCGUCAAAGAACCUAACUUGCCUCCACUCAAAUGGCGUAUGGGGCGAAUAUCAAAACUAUAUCCUGGAGCGGAUUGUUGCUGACGUAUUGACCACAAGAGGCAUCGUACGUCUUGCAGUGCACAACUUGUGCUCUUUGCCUUCGACGUCAAAAUUAGAAACCUCAACAUCCCAAGGACGUUGAGGGGGAAGAAGAUGUUGGCGCCAAAAUGACGACGGCAGCUGACGGCAACCGAUUCGGGCCGAACGGAACGCGGCGCCACUAGUUCAGUGACAAGUGACAACCAUUAGACAUUAAUUACGGGAACAAAUUACGAUUCGAACGUGCGCGACGUAACGUUAACCUAAGGUCCGGUAUCGGAUGGUGCUCGGGUCUCAAAGAUAAGCACAAAUACCAGCCCAGGAACUAAAAGGGACUUCACGUCGCGGUGCUGAACAGUGCCUUGAACUGGCCGCAUAGCAACAUUCACAAAUACUCAAUACGCACACGCGCACGGCGUGGUCAGAACAUGCCAGCUUUUGCUCCUCGUGUUGGUCCCAGCGGCGUUAGCCCUCAACAAGCCAGCACCUUGUCAACUCCAGCAAACACCAGCAAAAAACGCAGCUCGACGAGCAACGUGUAUAUUAUAGUAAUAUAUUAAUAUACAGCUGUGCGUUCGGAUUCACCUCUACUACAAAUAUUUGAGUGGAAAGAAUAUUUGUAAAUUAACAUGCUAGGAAUAUUGUGAUCAUUGUAUUCA